CCCUUAGAUGUUCUGGGCUGCACGCGUGCUACACUGAUAUUGCCAAUAUGUCAUUCUUAUCCGAAAUGGAUUGGGUAAUCAAGUAAUGAAAUUUCAUGCUUGGAAUCGGUAAUUGCAAUUUUAUCGUGAACGAGGAAUUCCUAGUAAGCACUAGUCAUCAGCUAAUGUUGAUUAUGUCCCUGCCCUUUGUACACACCGCCCGUCGCUACUACUGAUUGGGUGUUCAAGUGAGAUGCUUAGACCCUUGUUGCAUGGUUCAUUAUUGUGCUCCGAAAGGAAAAAGUUUCAAGCGUGAGUGUCUAGAGGAAGUAAAAGUCGUAACA
rnacentral:rRNA from 1 species